rnacentral:rRNA from 1 species
AAAUUGAAGAGUUUGAUCAUGGCUCAGAUUGAACGCUGGCGGCAGGCCUAACACAUGCAAGUCGAACGGUAACAGGAAGCAGCUUGCUGCUUUGCUGACGAGUGGCGGACGGGUGAGUAAUGUCUGGGAAACUGCCUGAUGGAGGGGGAUAACUACUGGAAACGGUGGCUAAUACCGCAUAACGUCGCAAGACCAAAGAGGGGGACCUUCGGGCCUCUUGCCAUCAGAUGUGCCCAGAUGGGAUUAGCUUGUUGGUGAGGUAACGGCUCACCAAGGCGACGAUCCCUAGCUGGUCUGAGAGGAUGACCAGCCACACUGGAACUGAGACACGGUCCAGACUCCUACGGGAGGCAGCAGUGGGGAAUAUUGCACAAUGGGCGCAAGCCUGAUGCAGCCAUGCCGCGUGUAUGAAGAAGGCCUUCGGGUUGUAAAGUACUUUCAGCGGGGAGGAAGGUGUUGUGGUUAAUAACCGCAGCAAUUGACGUUACCCGCAGAAGAAGCACCGGCUAACUCCGUGCCAGCAGCCGCGGUAAUACGGAGGGUGCAAGCGUUAAUCGGAAUUACUGGGCGUAAAGCGCACGCAGGCGGUCUGUCAAGUCGGAUGUGAAAUCCCCGGGCUCAACCUGGGAACUGCAUUCGAAACUGGCAGGCUUGAGUCUUGUAGAGGGGGGUAGAAUUCCAGGUGUAGCGGUGAAAUGCGUAGAGAUCUGGAGGAAUACCGGUGGCGAAGGCGGCCCCCUGGACAAAGACUGACGCUCAGGUGCGAAAGCGUGGGGAGCAAACAGGAUUAGAUACCCUGGUAGUCCACGCCGUAAACGAUGUCUACUUGGAGGUUGUGCCCUUGAGGCGUGGCUUCCGGAGCUAACGCGUUAAGUAGACCGCCUGGGGAGUACGGCCGCAAGGUUAAAACUCAAAUGAAUUGACGGGGGCCCGCACAAGCGGUGGAGCAUGUGGUUUAAUUCGAUGCAACGCGAAGAACCUUACCUGGUCUUGACAUCCACAGAACUUUCCAGAGAUGGAUUGGUGCCUUCGGGAAC